rnacentral:rRNA from 1 species
AUUGAACGCUGGCGGCAGGCCUAACACAUGCAAGUCGAACGGUAACAGGAAGAAGCUUGCUUCUUUGCUGACGAGUGGCGGACGGGUGAGUAAUGUCUGGGAAACUGCCUGAUGGAGGGGGAUAACUACUGGAAACGGUAGCUAAUACCGCAUAACGUCGCAAGACCAAAGAGGGGGACCUUCGGGCCUCUUGCCAUCGGAUGUGCCCAGAUGGGAUUAGCUAGUAGGUGGGGUAACGGCUCACCUAGGCGACGAUCCCUAGCUGGUCUGAGAGGAUGACCAGCCACACUGGAACUGGAACACGGUCCAGACUCCUACGGGAGGCAGCAGUGGGGAAUAUUGCACAAUGGGCGCAAGCCUGAUGCAGCCAUGCCGCGUGUAUGAAGAAGGCCUUCGGGUUGUAAAGUACUUUCAGCGGGGAGGAAGGGAGUAAAGUUAAUACCUUUGCUCAUUGACGUUACCCGCAGAAGAAGCACCGGCUAACUCCGUG